UACGGAGGAUCCGAGCGUUAUCCGGAAUUAUUGGGUUUAAAGGGUUCGUAGGCGGUUGAGUAAGUCAGUGGUGAAAUCUUAUAGCUUAACUAUAAAAUUGCCGUUGAUACUGCUUGACUUGAAUAGUAUGGAAGUAAUUAGAAUAUGUAGUGUAGCGGUGAAAUGCUUAGAUAUUACAUGGAAUACCAAUUGCGAAGGCAGAUUACUACGUACUUAUUGACGCUGAUGAACGAAAGCGUGGGUAGCGAACAGG
rnacentral:rRNA from 2 species